UACGGAGGGUGCAAGCGUUAUCCGGAUUCACUGGGCUUAAAGGGUGCGUAGGCGGGCAGGUAAGUCAGUGGUGAAAUCCCCGAGCUUAACUUGGGAACUGCCGUUGAUACUAUCUGUCUUGAAUAUUGUGGAGGUGAGCGGAAUAUGUCAUGUAGCGGUGAAAUGCUUAGAUAUGACAUAGAACACCAAUUGCGAAGGCAGCUCGCUACACAUAUAUUGACUCUGAGGCACGAAAGCGUGGGGAUCAAACAGG
rnacentral:rRNA from 1 species